AGAUAAAACGAGUCUCACAGAGAACAUUUCUUUGGCACAGCACAUUGUUUUACAUGUGUAUGCACAUUAGCCUACCUAUGGGGAAGCAUUGGAUUGGCUGAGAUCACUAACCUUGAUGAUCUGAGCCAGGAAGGGGAGUGGCAAUACAGUGACCAGUGUGCCAUGGAAUGUAAGGUAAGUAUGUAGGAGGGGACACCUACCUAGGUCGGAGGACACUAUAGUGUUAGAAAGACAUGUUUGUUCCUUGUUCC